rnacentral:rRNA from 1 species
UACGGGGGGGCAAGCGUUGUUCGGAAUUACUGGGCGUAAAGCGUGCGUAGGCGGUUUCUUAAGUCUGCUGUGAAAGCCCCGGGCUCAACCUGGAAAUGGCGGUGGAUACUGAGGAGCUGGAGUACGGUAGAGGAAGGUGGAAUUCCCGGUGUAGCGGUGAAAUGCGUAGAGAUCGGGAGGACAUCAGUGGCGAAGGCGACUACCUGGCCUGUUCUUGACGCUGAGGCGACGAAAGCUAGGGGAGCAAACGGG